ACAGCAGUCGCCACGGUAAUACGAAGGGUGCAAGCGUUACUCGGAAUUACUGGGCGUAAAGCGUGCGUAGGUGGUGGUUUAAGUCCGUUGUGAAAGCCCUGGGCUCAACCUGGGAAUUGCAGUGGAUACUGGGUCACUAGAGUGUGGUAGAGGAUAGUGGAAUUUCCGGUGUAGCAGUGAAAUGCGUAGAGAUCGGAAGGAACAUCUGUGGCGAAGGCGACUAUCUGGGCCAACAUUGACACUGAGGCACGAAAGCGUGGGGAGCAAACAGGAUUAGAUACCCCUGUAGUCCCUGUCUCUUAUAC
rnacentral:rRNA from 1 species